rnacentral:rRNA from 1 species
AGCGCAGACGGUUAUUUAAGCAAGAUGUGAAAGCCCCGGGCUCAACCUGGGAACUGCGUUUUGAACUGGGUAACUAGAGUGUGUCAGAGGGGGUAGGAAUUCCACGUGUAGCAGUGAAAUGCGUAGAGAUGUGGAGGAAUACCGAUGGCGAAGGCAGCCCCCUGGGAUAACACUGACGUUCAUGCUCGAAAGCGUGGGUAGCAAACA